UGGUAUGGAUAUGUGUUCUAAUGAAAUACAAAUCUGAAGCCUUUGAAAAGUUCAAGAAAUUCAAAAAUGAAGCAGAAAAAUAAAGAAGUAAACCCAUUAAGGAUCUUCAAUUUGAUCGAGGAGGUGAAUAUCUUAGUCAAAAAUUUUUGAGAUAUCUUAAGGACAACGGUAUAGUCUCUCAAUGGACUCCUCCACGAACAUCUCAGCUAAAUGAGAUAUUCAAAAGGAGGAAUAGGAUCCUAUUAUAUAUGUC
rnacentral:lncRNA from 1 species